rnacentral:rRNA from 1 species
AGAGUUUGAUCCUGGCUCAGGAUGAACGCUAGCGGCAGGCUUAAUACAUGCAAGUCGAACGGUAACAGGUCCAGCAAUGGAUGCUGACGAGUGGCGCACGGGUGCGUAACACGUAUGCAACCUACCUUUAACUAAGGAAUAGCCCCGAGAAAUCGGGAUUAAUACUUUAUAACGUUAUGAAAAGGCAUCUUUUUAUAAUUAAAGCUCCGGCGGUUAAAGAUGGGCAUGCGCGACAUUAGCUAGUUGGUAAGGUAACGGCUUACCAAGGCUGCGAUGUCUAGGGGUUCUGAGAGGAUUAUCCCCCACACUGGUACUGAGACACGGACCAGACUCCUACGGGAGGCAGCAGUAAGGAAUAUUGGGCAAUGGACGCAAGUCUGACCCAGCCAUGCCGCGUGCAGGAUGAAAGCCCUAUGGGUUGUAAACUGCUUUUAUACGGGAAAAAACUUCCGAUCGUGUAUCGGAACUGAUGGUACCGUAAGAAUAAGGAUCGGCUAACUCCGUGCCAGCAGCCGCGGUAAUACGGAGGAUCCAAGCGUUAUCCGGAUUUAUUGGGUUUAAAGGGUGCGUAGGCGGAAUUGUAAGUCAGUGGUGAAAUCCUACAGCUUAACUGUAGAACGGCCAUUGAUACUGCAAAUCUUGAGUAUAUUUGAAGUGGGCGGAAUGUGUCAUGUAGCGGUGAAAUGCUUAGAUAUGACACAGAACACCGAUUGCGAAGGCAGCUCACUAAACUAUAACUGACGCUGAGGCACGAAAGCGUGGGGAGCAAACAGGAUUAGAUACCCUGGUAGUCCACGCCCUAAACUAUGAUUACUCGAUGUGUGCGAUACACUGUACGCGUCUGAGCGAAAGCAUUAAGUAAUCCACCUGGGGAGUACGAUCGCAAGAUUGAAACUCAAAGGAAUUGACGGGGGCCCGCACAAGCGGAGGAGCAUGUGGUUUAAUUCGAUGGUACGCGAGGAACCUUACCUGGGCUUAAAUGUUGCUUGACGUUUUGAGAAAUCAAAAUUUCGCAAGACAAGCAGCAAGGUGCUGCAUGGCUGUCGUCAGCUCGUGCCGUGAGGUGUUGGGUUAAGUCCCGUAACGAGCGCAACCCCUAUCAUUAGUUGCCAUCAGGUUAUGCUGGGAACUCUAAUGAAACUGCCUACGCAAGUAGUGAGGAAGGUGGGGAUGACGUCAAGUCAGCACGGCCCUUACGUCCAGGGCUACACACGUGCUACAAUGGUCGGUACAGAGGGCAGCUACCUGGUGACAGGAUGCAAAUCUCUAAAGCCGAUCUCAGUUCGGAUCGAAGUCUGCAACUCGACUUCGUGAAGUUGGAUUCGCUAGUAAUCGCGUAUCAGCAAUGACGCGGUGAAUACGUUCCCGGGCCUUGUACACACCGCCCGUCAAGCCAUGGGAGUUGAGGGUACCUAAAGUCGAUAACCGCAAGGAGUCGCCUAGGGUAAAAUCAAUGACUGGGGCUAAGUCGAAACAAGGUA